rnacentral:rRNA from 1 species
AACGAACGCUGGCGGCAUGCCUAACACAUGCAAGUCGAACGAGACCUUCGGGUCUAGUGGCGCACGGGUGCGUAACGCGUGGGAACCUGCCCUUAGGUUCGGAAUAACUCCCCGAAAGGGGUGCUAAUACCGGAUAAUGUCUUCGGACCAAAGAUUUAUCGCCUUUGGAUGGGCCCGCGUUGGAUUAGCUAGUUGGUAGGGUAAAAGCCUACCAAGGCGACGAUCCAUAGCUGGUCUGAGAGGAUGAUCAGCCACACUGGGACUGAGACACGGCCCAGACUCCUACGGGAGGCAGCAGUGGGGAAUAUUGGACAAUGGGCGAAAGCCUGAUACAGCCAUGCCGCGUGAGUGAUGAAGGCCUUAGGGUUGUAAAGCUCUUUUACCCGGGAUGAUAAUGACAGUACCGGGAGAAUAAGCUCCGGCUAACUCCGUG